rnacentral:rRNA from 1 species
AGAACUUAGCAGAGAUGCUUUGGUGGCCUUCGGGAACUCUGAGACAGGUGCUGCAUGGCUGUCGUCAGCUCGUGUUGUGAAAUGUUGGGUUAAGUCCCGCAACGAGCGCAACCCUUAUCCUUUGUUGCCAGCGGCUCGGCCGGGAACCCAAAGGAGACUGCCGGUGAUAAACCGGAGGAAGGUGGGGAUGACGUCAAGUCAUCAUGGCCCUUACGGCCAGGGCUACACACGCGCUACAAUGGCGCAUACAAAGAGAAGCGACCUCGCGAGAGCAAGCGGACCUCACAAAGUGCGUCGUAGUCCGGAUUGGAGUCUGCAACUCGACUCCAUGAAGUCGGAAUCGCUAGUAAUCGUAGAUCAGAAUGCUACGGUGAAUACGUUCCCGGGCCUUGUACACACCGCCCGUCACACCAUGGGAGUGGGUUGCAAAAGAAGUAGGUAGCUUAACCUUCGGGAGGGCGCUUACCACUUUGUGAUUCAUGACUGGGGUGAAGUCGUAACAAGGUAAGCGUAGCGAG